GUUUGAUAUGGCUCAGGACGAACGCUGGCGGCGUGCCUAACACAUGCAAGUCGAGCGGGGACAUUGCGACAGAUAUGAAGUCUUCGGAUGAAUUGAAGAUGUAAUGUCUAGCGGCGGACGGGUGAGUAACGCGUGAGCAACCUGUCCCUUACAGGGGGAUAACACAGCGAAAGUUGUACUAAUACCGCAUAAGACCACAGAGUGACAUCACUUAGGGGUCAAAGGAGCAAUCCGGUAAGGGGUGGGCUCGCGUCCGAUUAGAUAGUUGGUGAGGUAACGGCCCACCAAGUCGACGAUCGGUAGCCGACCUGAGAGGGUGAUCGGCCACAUUGGGACUGAGACACGGCCCAAACUCCUACGGGAGGCAGCAGUGGGGAAUAUUGGGCAAAUGGGGGAAACCCUGACCCAGCAACGCCGCGUGAGGGAAGAAGGUUUUCGGAUCGUAAACCUCUGUCCUUGGUGAAGAGAAAGAGACGGUAGCCAAGGAGGAAGCCCCGGCUAACUACGUGCCAGCCGCAGC
rnacentral:rRNA from 1 species